rnacentral:rRNA from 1 species
UCAAGCGACUAAGUGUAUGUGGUGGAUGCCUUGGCGAUUACAGGCGAUGAAGGACGUCGCAGCCUGCGAAAAGCCGUGGGGAGCUGGCAAGCGAGCACUGAUCCACGGAUGUCCGAAUGAGGGAACUCACCCGCAAGGGUAUCUUGAAGUGAAUACAUAGCUUCAAGAGGCGAACGCAGCGAACUGAAACAUCUAAGUAGCUGCAGGAAAAGAAAUCAACCGAGAUUCUGAAAGUAGCGGCGAGCGAAAUUGGAAGAGCCUGCAAGUGAUAUUGAAUUCGAUACUGGAACGGUCUGGAAAGUCCGGCUACAGAGGGUGACAGCCCCGUACGGGAAAUUGGGUUCAAGGUACUGAGCUUGCGAGAAGUAGAGCGGGACACGUGAAAUCCUGCUCGAAGAUGGGGGGACCAUCCUCCAAGGCUAAAUACUCGUAAUCGACCGAUAGCGAACCAGUACUGUGAAGGAAAGGCGAAAAGAACCCCGGGAGGGGAGUGAAAUAGAUCCUGAAACCGCAUACAUACAAACAGUAGGAGCCCGCAAGGGUGACUGCGUACCUUUUGCAUAAUGGGUCAGCGACUUACGUUCAAUGGCAAGCUUAACCGAGUAGGGGAGGCGCAGCGAAAGCGAGUCCGAACAGGGCGACAUGAGUCGUUGGGCGUAGACCCGAAACCAGAUGAUCUAUCCAUGGCCAGGCUGAAGGUGUGGUAACACACACUGGAGGGCCGAACCGACUAGUGUUGCAAAAUUAGCGGAUGAGCUGUGGAUAGGGGUGAAAGGCUAAACAAAUCUGGAGAUAGCUGGUUCUCCCCGAAAACUAUUGAGGUAGUGCCUCGUGUAUGGCUCCAGGGGGUAGAGCACUGUUAUGGCUAGGGGGACAUGGCGUCUUACCAAACCAUGGCAAACUCCGAAUACUUGGAAGUCUGAGCACGGGAGACAGAGCACCGGGUGCUAACGUCCGGACUCAAAAGGGAAACAACCCAGACCGCCGGCUAAGGUCCCUAAUAUUGACUAAGUGGAAAACGAAGUGGGAAGGCUAAGACAGUCAGGAAGUUGGCUUAGAAGCAGCCAUCCUUCAAAGAAAGCGUAAUAGCUCACUGAUCGAGUCUUCCUGCGCGGAAGAUGUAACGGGGCUAAGUCAAUAACCGAAGCCGCGGAUUCGCAGCAAUGCGAGUGGUAGGGGAGCGUUCUGUAAGCCUGCGAAGGCGGAUCUGCGAGGACCGCUGGAGGUAUCAGAAGUGCGAAUGCUGACAUGAGUAACGUUAAAGCGGGUGAAAAGCCCGCUCGCCGCAAGCCCAAGGUUUCCUGCUCUACGUUCAUCGGAGCAGGGUGAGUCGGCCCCUAAGGUCAGGCUGAGAAGCGUAGCUGAUGGGAAGCUGGUUAAUAUUCCAGCACCGAUUUCAAGUGCGAAGGGGGGACGGAGUCCUGAAGGUCAUCCGGGUGUUGGAUAUCCCGGUUUACGAGCGUAGGAGGUUGACAGGCAAAUCCGUCAACGAAUCUCCAAGGCGAAGGAUCGAGGUUGAGAGAUCAACUGAAGUGACUGAAUGGGCUUCCAGGAAAAGCCUCUAAGCAUCAGCUUGGAAUUGACCGUACCGCAAACCGACACUGGUGGGCGAGCUGAAUAUGCUCAGGCGCUUGAGAGAACUCAGGAGAAGGAACUCGGCAAAUUGACCCCGUAACUUCGGGAUAAGGUGUGCCUUUGUAGUGUGAAGAGAGAAACACUCCGAGCAUGAAGAGGCCUCAGAGAAUCGGUGGCUGCAACUGUUUACUAAAAACACAGCACUCUGCAAAGAUGAAAGUCGACGUAUAGGGUGUGAUGCCUGCCCGGUGCUGGAAGAUUAAUUGAUGGGGUGCAAGCUCCUGAUCGAAGUCCCAGUAAACGGCGGCCGUAACUAUAACGGUCCUAAGGUAGCGAAAUUCCUUGUC